rnacentral:rRNA from 1 species
GGCGAACGGGUGAGCAACACGUGAGGAAUCUGCCUUCCACUCUGGGAUAACUCCGGGAAACCGGGGCUAAUACCGGAUACUUUCAACUGGCGGCAUCGCCGGUUGAAGAAAGUUUUUCGGUGGAAGAUGACCUCGCGGCCUAUCAGCUUGUUGGUGAGGUAAUGGCUCACCAAGGCGACGACGGGUAGCCGGCCUGAGAGGGCGACCGGCCACACUGGGACUGAGACACGGCCCAGACUCCUACGGGAGGCAGCAGUGGGGAAUAUUGGGCAAUGGAGGAAACUCUGACCCAGCGACGCCGCGUGAGGGAUGAAGGCCUUCGGGUUGUAAACCUCUUUCAGCAGGGAAUAAGCGAAAGUGAAGGUACCUGCAGAAGAAGCACCGGCUAACUAUGUGCCAGCAGCCGCGGUAAUACAUAGGGUGCAAGCGUUGUCCGGAAUUAUUGGGCGUAAAGAGCUCGUAGGUGGUCGAUCACGUCGGAUGUGAAAAUCUGAGGCUUAACCUCAGACCUGCACUCGAUACGGGUUGACUAGAGUGUGGUAGGGGAGACUGGAAUUCCUGGUGUAGCGGUGGAAUGCGCAGAUAUCAGGAGGAACACCGAUGGCGAAGGCAGGUCUCUGGGCCAUUACUGACACUGAGGAGCGAAAGCGUGGGGAGCGAACAGGAUU